UACGAAGGGGGCUAGCGUUGUUCGGAAUCACUGGGCGUAAAGCGCACGCAGGCGGGUCGUUAAGUCAGGGGUGAAAUCCCGAGGCUCAACCUCGGAACUGCCUUUGAUACUGCAGUGCUAGAGUGCAGAAGGGGCAAUCGGAAUUCUUGGUGUAGCGGUGAAAUGCGUAGAUAUCAAGAGGAACACCUGAGGUGAAGACGGGUUGCUAGGCUGACACUGACGCUGAGGCGCGAAAGCCAGGGGAGCAAACGGG
rnacentral:rRNA from 1 species